rnacentral:pre_miRNA from 1 species
GGCCUACCUCUUUGGGGCGAUCCAUCGUAGAGCCCUGUGAUGGAUCGCCCUGCAGAGGGAGGCC